GGGCUUUGUGCCCUAACCAUAACAUCAUCAGGUACUUUGCAGGACUGUUUGUGGCCCAGAGUCUGCUGCUGCCAAGGCAAGAAGAUAUUUUCAUUUUAAGGGAAUUCCAGUUUUCUAGAAGAAAUUACAUAUACUUGGAAAGAGACACUACGAGAUGAUUGCAUGCAGUCUAGAUUCUGCUCCUUUCUUCUGUCAUCAUCCAAUGUUGGAGGUA